rnacentral:rRNA from 1 species
AGUGAACGCUGGCGGCAGGCCUAACACAUGCAAGUCGAACGGCAGCACAGUAAGAGUUUGCUCUUACGGGUGGCGAGUCGCGGACGGGCGUGGAAUACAUCGGAAUCUACCUUUUCGUGGGUGAUAACGUAGGGGAACUCACGCUAAUACCGCAUACGACCUACGGGUGAAAGCAGGGGAUCUUCUGACUUUCCGGGUUUUAAUGAGACGAGUUCAGAUUAGCUAGUUGGCGGGGUAAAGGGCGACCAAGGCCACGAUCCGUAGCUCGUCUGAGGGGAUGAUCAGCCAGCCUGGAACUGAGACACAGUCCAGACUCCUACGGUGGGCAGCAGUGGGGAAUAUUGGACGAGGGGGGAGAGCCUGAUCCAGCAAUACCGCGUGGGUGAAGAAGGCCUUCGGGUUGUAGAGCCCUUUUGUUGGGAGAGAAGAGCAGCAGGUUAAUACCCCGCGGUUCUGACGGUACCCAAAGAAUAAGCACCGGCUAACUUCGUG